GUGCCAGCAGCCGCGGUAAGACGAACCGUGCAAACGUUGUUCGGAAUCACUGGGCUUAAAGGGCGCGUAGGCGGGUGGUCAAGUCAGGGGUGAAAUCUUUCCGCUCAACGGGAAAACAGCUUUUGAUACUGGCCAUCUUGAGGGGGGUAGGGGCAUGUGGAACUUCCGGUGGAGCGGUGAAAUGCGUAGAUAUCGGAAGGAACGCCGGUGGCGAAAGCGACGUGCUGGACCCUUUCUGACGCUGAGGCGCGAAAGCCAGGGGAGCAAACGGGAUUAGAAACCCGUGUAGUCC
rnacentral:rRNA from 1 species